rnacentral:rRNA from 1 species
UGAGGAAUAUUGGUCAAUGGGCGAGAGCCUGAACCAGCCAAGUCGCGUGCAGGAUGACUGCCUUAUGGGUUGUAAACUGCUUUUAUACAGGAAUAACAACAGGGACGUGUCCCUGGAUGAAUGUACUGUAAGAAUAAGGAUCGGCUAACUCCGUGCCAGCAGCCGCGGUAAUACGGAGGAUCCGAGCGUUAUCCGGAUUUAUUGGGUUUAAAGGGUGCGUAGGCGGUCUUUUAAGUCAGUGGUGAAAGUUUGCAGCUUAACUGUAAAAUUGCCAUUGAAACUGGAGGACUUGAGUGCGGUAGAGGUAAGCGGAAUGCGUGGUGUAGCGGUGAAAUGCAUAGAUAUCACGCAGAACCCCGAUUGCGAAGGCAGCUUACUGGACCGUUACUGACGCUGAGGC